rnacentral:rRNA from 1 species
AUUGAACGCUGGCGGCAGGCCUAACACAUGCCAGUCGAACGGUAACAGGAAGAAGCUUGCUUCUUUGCUGACGAGUGGCGGACGGGUGAGUAAUGUCUGGGAAACUGCCUGAUGGAGGGGGAUAACUACUGGAAACGGUAGCUAAUACCGCAUAACGUCGCAAGACCAAAGAGGGGGACCUUCGGGCCUCUUGCCGUCGGAUGUGCCCAGAUGGGAUUGGCUAGUAGGUGGGGUAACGGCUCACCUAGGCGACGAUCCCUAGCUGGUCUGAGAGGAGGACCAGCCACCCUGGAACUGAGACACGGUCCAGGCUCCUACGGGAGGCAGCAGUGGGGAAUAUUGCACAGUGGGCGCGAGCCUGAUGCAGCCAUGCCGCGUGUAUGACGAAGGCCUUCGGGUUGUAAAGUACUUUCAGCGGGGAGGAAGGGAGUAAAGUUAAUACCUUUGCUCAUUGACGUUACCGGCAGAAGAAGCACCGGCUAACUCCGUG